rnacentral:rRNA from 1 species
UACGGAGGGUGCAAGCGUUAUCCGGAUUCACUGGGUUUAAAGGGUGUGUAGGCGGGUAUGUAAGUCAGGGGUGAAAUCUCCAGGCUCAACCUGGAAACUGCCAUUGAUACUAUAUGUCUUGAAUUUUGUUGAGGUUGGCGGAAUAAGUCAUGUAGCGGUGAAAUGCAUAGAUAUGACUUAGAACACCGAUUGCGAAGGCAGCUAACUAAGCAAACAUUGACGCUGAGGCACGAAAGCGUGGGGAUCAAACAGG